rnacentral:rRNA from 1 species
UACGUAGGAGGCAAGCGUUGUCCGGAAUUACUGGGCGUAAAGCGUGCGCAGGCGGUUGGCAAAGUCAGCUGUGAAAGCCCCGGGCUUAACCUGGGAAUGGCGGUUGAAACUAGUCGACUAGAAUCUGGCAGAGGGGGGUGGAAUUCCACGUGUAGGAGUGAAAUGCGUAGAGAUGUGGAGGAACACCGAUGGCGAAGGCAGCCCCCUGGGCUGAGAUUGACGCUCAGGCACGAAAGCGUGGGGAGCAAACAGG